rnacentral:sRNA from 12 species
CCUUUCCUAUAAAAGGGCGUCGCCGGGUGCAUGGGAAUUAAGCCCAUGGUGCGGAUAGUGAAAACCCCCGGAG